rnacentral:rRNA from 1 species
UACGAGGGGGGCAAGCGUUGUUCGGAAUUAUUGGGCGUAAAGGGCGCGUAGGCGGUUUGACAAGUCUGAUGUGAAAGCCCGGAGCUCAACUCCGGAAUUGCCCUUGAGACUGUAUCGCUUGAACACGGGAGAGGUGAGUGGAAUUCCGAGUGUAGAGGUGAAAUUCGUAGAUAUUCGGAAGAACACCAGUGGCGAAGGCGGCUCACUGGACCGUUGUUGACGCUGAGGUGCGAAAGCGUGGGGAGCAAACAGG